UGUCUUCUCUAUCUUACCUUACUCUUUUCUUUCUAAUGAUGGCACAGUUUCUUCCUUCUCUUUGUCAAUUUCUUCCCUCCCUUCUCAAUCUCAUUUUCAACCAUCUCUUCUCCAUCGAACAGUCCACCACACCCAAAGUCGUCAUUGUCCCUCGUGCCCAGCCAUUGACGCGUCUGUCACUGUUGUGCUUGUUGGUUGUUUGGUCGCCAUCCUCGUUUUUCACGUUUUUGUACAUCCGUAUCAACCCCUCGCUACCAUCAUCACGUGUCUGCGUUUGUCUCGCCACCACUGUCGCACAUCUGCAUCUGUCUUACAAGCUCAGAUUUGGUCUUCUCGUGGCCAAAUUUGUUGCAGAAGCAUUGCCCAUGGACCGCCUUAAACGAUUUCGAAGUCGACAAUGUUAAACGUGGAGAAAGGAGAGCUUAAAGUGAAACUCAAUUUGCUGCAAACAAGAUGUUUGAAAGAACGUCGCAAAUGAUAUAUCAAAUAUGUAAAACUAAGCGAUUCAAGUGGAUUUGAUUUUACAUUGUUUUUGUUGACACUUAUAUUAGAAUUCAUUCUUGUUUU